rnacentral:lncRNA from 1 species
GAUGAUGUGGCAAUUAGUGGUGACAUGGAAUUGGAUUUCAUGAAUUUUAAAUAAACCAAAAUUAUUGCAUGGCGCAUGGACCCAUUGCUUGACACAUGGCGACAUUAUUUGUUGUUUGAAUUUGAAUUCAAACAUUAAGCAAUAUAUUAAAUGAUUUCAUACAUCAAAUAACUUUCCUAGAUAGCGUGUGAACCUCUGAAUCAUUUAAAUU